rnacentral:lncRNA from 1 species
UCAGCGGGCGGGGCGGAAGGGAGGAGCCAGGGUCUUCCUCCUCAUUUCUCUCUGCUUUAGUGGCAACUUGGGAAGUGGUUGGGUCACCGCCAGGGUUCCAGCUCCCAUGGGCAGCCCCCUGCCUGACUGUGGUUCCGGUGUCCCACACCUAGUCUGGUUCCCAGGCUUUGGGUAUCGGCACUUCCUCCCCGGUCUCUGGAGUCCCAGGUUGUCACAGCUGCCUGCCGCUGCUUGUCGACAGGAUCUCAUGUUAUUUAGGCUUGUCUGGGACUCCUGGCCUCAAGCAAUCCUCCUGCCUCGGCCUACCGAAGUGCUGGGAUUACAGGCAUGAGCCACUGCACCCGGCCACCAGCAUUUGUUAAAGUCUCACCACGGAUCAGGCUCUCAUCUAAAAAACUUGAAGUUGUCAUUCUGUGUCCUUACAGUAACCCCUCAAGCUGAAGACAAAAUAUUUGCCAGUCUUGUUCAUGAAGGUAUUCCAAUGCCUAGAACAUUGCUUUUGCACAUAGUAGGUGCUCAACAAACGGGCCUUGCACACAGUAGUUAAUAUCACAGGUUAAAGACGAAGAAUAAGGGGGAUCCCUGCCUUGAUGGACAAGGAGAAAAGCAGGGCCCUGAUGAGGGAGCCCCGCACUGCCAGGAUGGAGCAGGAGUGUCAAAGGAAGCCUUCCAACAGCGGUGGCACAGGCGCCAAGGCAACAAGGAAGGGUGGGAGCUCUGCAAGGCACCGGGCACUCCAGGCAGAAGGACCUGUGUGGGGAAAAGCAAGGCAGCUGGAAAAAGCAAGCGGAGCUGCGAAGGCGCCAAGGUAUAAACACAGACCAAGAGCCAAGGGUGGGGCCGGUACAGGGGGUCACUGGGAGAUGCCAGCACCCUCCACCCAGGCGUCCUUCGGGGCCAGCCAACCUAAGGAAGGAGGCCAGGCCUCACGCCCCUCUGUGCCUGACCCCUAGCCACACUGCCCUGUGGGGCCCGGCCUGGUUUCCCCUCCACUGCUCAGGGCGGAAAUCCAGCAGGGGCAGCCAGGCCGACAUCCAACCCUCCCACCGCAGGCCUGGCCUCAGCCCCUCUCCGGGCCUUUAACGAAGCCAUAAAUCCCCCGCAGGGCCGUGGGAGGGGCGGCGGCCCUGCACAUGUCCCGGCGGCCGGACAGAGGCCGGCAUCUCUGGCUGGCGGUGACUGAGCGCCCCGACACCCCAUCACUCAUUCCCCGCGCCCAGCUGCCCCCGCCUCGGCAGCAGCCCAUCCAUCUCAGCCGGCAGCUUUCAAGUCCGGCCCCAGGCCCCUCUGCUUAGUGUUAAGAUGAGCCCGGCUCACGCGGACUGUUCUUAUUUAUCUGGAGGUUCGUCCCACUGUGGCCAUCACUCUGCGGGGCGGCCCCAGUUCCCGGGACAGGCCCCCAGAAUGCGAUCCUCCUCCGUUUCCUUUCCCGCCCCCACCUGGCAACGCACAGAGAAGGCCUGCAGCCCGAGGGCGGAUUUGUUUCAGUCGCAGGUCGCUGGGCGUUUUGACCUCUGCUGUUUUCUUGGAAGGCUUUCAGCAGCCCUUUGAGGCAUCAGUGUCCGUGCUCUGUAGCGGUGGAAACUGAGGCACAGAGAGGGAAGCUCAGAGUUCUCCUGGCUGUCUGGCUCUGAUGCAGGACCAGUGGCCAAUCUUUGGCCAAAUCCUGCGAGGCCUCCUGGGGCCUUUGCAUGGCUGCCUUGCAAGUUUGGUCAGAUCAAUUUUCGUCCAGCAUUCUCUGCUACACUGCAAAGUCCUCCAGGGCAAGGAUCCACUCACGGAGGCCUUGCUGGACUCAGUCAUGGGAAGGGGGAGAUUAGUGUUGGGGUUUUGGGCAUGUUAUGCAUUGAAUGUUUGUGUUCCCCCCAAAUUUACAUGUUGAAGCCCUAACCUCCAAUGUGAAGGUUUUAGAGGUGGGGUGUUUGAGAGGUAAUUAGGUUGAGAUGUGGUCAUGAGGGUGGAACCCCCAUCUUGGGAUUCACGUCCUUAUAAGGAAAGGAAGAAACACCAGAGUUACACCUCUCUGUCUCUCUCCUUGC